rnacentral:rRNA from 1 species
AGUGAACGCUGGCGGCGUGCCUAAUACAUGCACGUCGAACGGAGUGGCACACGGGUGAGUAAUGUAUAGCUAAUCUGCCCUACACUAGAGGACAACAGUUGGAAACGACUGCUAAUACUCUAUAGUGUAGGCUGGGGCUAUAUUGUAUCAGCUAGUUGGUGAGGUCAUGGCUAACCAAGGCUAUGACUCAUACCUGGUCUGAGAGGAUGAUCAGUCACACUUGAACGGAGACACGGUCCAGACUCGGACGGGAGGCAGCAGUAGGGAAUAAUGCUCAAUGGGGUAAACCCUGAAGAAGCAUCGCCGCGUGGAGGAUGACACUUUUCGGAGCGUAAACUCCUUUUGUAAGGGAAGAGGGACCUAACGAAUAAGCACCGGCUAACUCCGUGCCAGCCGCCGCGGGAAUAC